CAAUUAAGAAAAAAAGUGGAACCAAAUUCAUAAAUACUAUUUUCAAACUUUCUUUUUUUCUUCUACUUUAAUCCAUACUUUAUUUUUUUUUAAUUUAAAUUCAUUUAUUUUAAUUAGAAGCUAAUUACUUUACAAUAUUGUAUUGGUUCUGCCACAUAUCAACAUGAAUCCACCAUAGGCGUACACAUUUUAAAGUCAGGAAAAAAACCAACAAUUUAAAAAGUACAUCCAAGACAUGUAUAUGAGGAAAAAAAAAAAAUAAAAAUAAAAAAAUAAAAAGUACAUCCAAGACAUGUAUAUGAGUAUACAUAUGUUUGCUUUGGCCCAGCACUGUUUGCUUGUUCUUCUAGGAACCCACUCUCUUGUUCUUUCUUUUAUGGCCCUGGCAACUUCACACCAGGCAUCCCUAUUCUUCCUUUUUAAAAUCUCUUUCAACUACCCUCAUAUCAGCAGCACUUAUUUGGAACUUAUUUGUUAAGAGGUCACAAAAAAAUACAUCCACACAUACUAAGCUUGAUUCUCAUUAGAUUACUGUUUUCACUGCUUU
rnacentral:lncRNA from 1 species